rnacentral:ribozyme from 1 species
CAACAGUAUUGAUACGCAAGCUCUGGGUAAUUCAACCCCGGGAGAUGCCAAGCUCGACCAAGGGGAACUCACAACAGGAACACCUUCGACAGAAACAGC